UUCUCUCUUAAACAACCACUAGGGAACUAUCUGUCUUAAAAUAAUCUGGGGAGCUAUCAGGAAACCUGUUUGGUCCUUUUAUCAGCCAAGAAUUUCUAUUAUGUAUCUCUUAUAUCAUAAUUUAGAUAUAAAAGAAAUUAUCUAUUCUGGUUCACCCACUCAGUGACUAACACAGUUGCAAACAUUUGUUAACUGACAUUUAUGUGGGAGGAAGUAAACUAGCCUUACAGUCACCUUGCGGACGGUGAUUCAUGCACUUAAAUAUUCAAUCACCUUGUGGACGGUGAUUCAUGCACUUAAAUAUUCAUUUGAAAUUUUGUAGGUAGAGUGCCACCUCCUAUGUCAUCUGUCAAGUUGAUUGUUUUUUUCUUUUUAAGAUUUAAAAGAUUCAUCAGUCAUAAGGUACCUAGAAGUAGAGAGAGAGUAGUUGGGACUUUUGCAUUGCUAACAUUAUCAUCUCAUUUUGCUUUCCUGUUUGCAUCUAGUAUUGGAAUACUCACUUUGUUUUUUGUGGACAUUCUAAGGUUUGUUUCUAGAGGUAAGAAGUAUCCCCCAUUUGUAAGUACAAUCUUGCUUUCCUCUAAUUGAGCAUUGAACAUCAGACUUCCUGCUGAAUACUUUGGUAGUUUCUAAUUGUUCUUGUUUUUGUAAAUUCAUUUUGUUUCAUUGAAACUGGGGAUUGCCUAAGGCUUGCGUUGCUUACCUCUUUCUUUCUGGACAAGGUUUUCCCAAAAUUUGUGUUUCCUCUCUUGUUUGAUUAAUUUAAUUUGUUGUAGUGUAUGCGCCAUCCGUGUGAUCACUUGAUUAUAUUUUGUUAUAUUUUUUAACCUAUUUCUUUCCUAUUAUCUUACAACUUUUCAGGCAUGAUCUUUCUUGGCGCUCUUGUCAACCUGAUUUCUUACCCCUUGCUUGUUGGAAGUUUGGGACUCACAUCUUUUACCUUGCUGUACUGUUAUUACAUUUGCAGAGAUUUGCCUUAGAAGUUCAGUUCACUCAGUCGCUGUUCGGAAGGCCAUUCAAAAGUUUAUUAUUAAUAAUAUUUUGAAUUUCUUUUGUAGGAUGAAAUCUUCUGCAGAUCUUUAUAUCUUAUAUUUCUCCGGUGGCUAAUGUUUUCUGAUUAGUAUGUUUAACAGUCUCCAAGAACUGGUUACUGACAAUUUUUUGUUGUGUUUUAUUUUCUGAUGAAUUAUUUCAUCUUGUGCUAAACUGCUUGUUUUUAUAUUUCUUUUAAUUCUCUGAUAAUGAUAUUCAAGUUGUUGUGAGGAUGGAUACUAAUUUCUGCUAAUGAUCUGGAGCUUCUAGGCCUUCUGUCUCAUUUCCUUUCACAGAAGGUGGUAAUGCCCCAGAAUAAGAGGGAAUUUGGGUAUGUGGAAGAUAUUUUUAUCUUUUAAUCAUGAAUUUAUGCUUGCAUUACAUUGUCUUCGUGGUAUGAAUUCAUCUGCAAUAAUUCUGAUCUGUCUUCCUAGUUUAUGUGGCAGGUGACUGUCUGGCUAAUGGCUGAGAUUUGAGUGUUGCAAAUUAUGGCAGCACUUGAGUUGGUUUUGUCCUACAAUCUAUUAAAUUAGGCUAGUAGAUAUCUAGCAUAUGGUCAUUAUUUUUUAAAUUCCCAACUAUUCCUACCAUCUGUUAGAAUGCAUUUCAAUUAUCCCUUUGAUGGAUUGUGGUAGGAAGAUUCAUUACAAGGUAUUUUUUGGAAGUACAAAAGUUUCUUAUGAAAGAUAUUGGUAUGAUAUUUCGGGGAAGACAGACUGGCUUUUCCUAAAAAUGAGUGUAGGCAGGACGUGCUAUCCUCUUGUUGGAAGUUUUAUAUCCUGUUUUUUUGGAUGCUUUUUAACCUUUAGUUGAUUUAGUUGUAGCGAGAGGAGAGCUCUUAUGAGUUGGGAAGUUCAUUUUUAUGCUUUGGGAAUUAUGUGUCCUUGUUCCUUGUGGAGUGGGUCAAUGAUUCGUAACUUCAGAGUGCUUGGCUAACUUAUUAACUUUUGCAUUUUGAAAUUUAAACCUGAAAUCGUUGAGUUGCCUUUCUCAGGCAUCUAUUUGCCAUACCACAGUUUCCAAAAACAUUUAUUUUACCAAUAAACAAUCAAUUUCAGAUGUUUUAUUUCAGUAACAUCAUUUGUUUUCAGGGGAAAGUGACGGGUCUCAUUAUUUGUACAUGUUAGUGACAUCCUUUUUCUACUUGGAAGAGUUUAACCAUGUGUGUAGUUUGUUUUGCAUAUUCCAUGCUGACCCUUACCAUAAAUCAUACAAGAACUAUCUAUAACUGGGUUAUUAGCAUAACUCUUCAAGGUAUCUGAUCACAUUUUUUGACUUCUCGCCAGUAAUAGAACUAUAAUUAGUUAACAAUAAUGAAAUAAUAUCUUUAUUUAUAGAAGUACAGGAGUAAAUUCAUAUGUUUUCUUUUCUGUUGCAAUCUUAGCUUUUCAAACUGACAUGUUUCCUCUUCUGUCAGAAAUGGUUAGAUGUUUUGUUGUUUUUUACUGUUGUGCUAACUGUCACUCAGAGAGUUGUUACGCCAAUGUAAAUGCCCCAGUAUUAGAUUCAUAAGGUGAUGGCUGAUUUAGUCAUAUUUUUAAAUUAUAUUUCUUCCACGUGUCUGUUCAGAAAUCCAACUGUUGCAGUGGUUGAUUACUUUGUGAUUGCCACUGAAGCAGGCUAGUUUUUGAGGGAAUCUCUCUUUUUUUAAAAAGUUUUUUAUAAGUUAUGCUGCUGCUUGUACUUUCAUAUGAGGUACGGGCGGCGUAUUGCUAGUUUUGGAAGAAAGUUUUGUGAAUGUUUUUGUGAUUAAACACUUACCUUGGUUGGAUUGCCCUAGUCGAGAAGAAUGAUUGAGGAUGUUAUAAAUUGAACGACUGCGUUAUGUUUGCAAGCUAAUGGCUUUCUGGUGUAGUGAAGAAUGAUUUGUCUACACAAGGGUUUACAUCUUUUGACUUGAUAAGGAGUUUUUUCAAGGGUAUACAAUGCUGUCGCAAGCUCUGGAUCCAUCAAAUAUGAGGAUUUUUGGUGCAUCAGCUUCUUGUUCCUACUUUAGUUCAAUUGUCCCUGGGUAGAUUCUCUUUUGUUUGGGGGGAAUAUGGAGGGAGAAGACAGCCUAGGUUGGGUUGUAACUUUUGAGUUUGAAACCAAACAUUUUCUUCCAUACUAUAUACGCCUAUGAGGAGGCCAGCUUGUAAGUACUCAGUGGCUUAACGGUUGAAAUGAUGACUGCUGGUUCUUGAGCAGAAUAAAUCUUCCUUAAAACUACAGUGGGUCAUAACUGAUUAUUUAGUAUGAGUCUGGUUAAUUCUGAACGGAGCUAGUUUCAUUUCGGUUUGGUUGAAAUGGAACUGAGAAGGCUAAUGUCACGGUUUAAUUAGUGUUC